GAUGAACGCUGGCGGCGUGCCUAAUACAUGCAAGUCGAGCGAAGCGGGGACGGGUGAGUAACACGUGGAUAACCUUCUAUAAGACAGGGAUAACUUCGGGAAACAGGAGCUAUAUCGGAUACUUAUACAUGCACCCGCGCUGCAUUAGCUAGUUGGUAAGGUAACGGCUUACCAAGGCAACGAUGCAUAGCCGACCUGCGCGGGUGAUCGGCAACACUGGAACGGGGACACGGUCCAGACUCCUACGGGAGGCAGCAUUAGGGAAUCUUCCGCAAUGGGCGAAAGCCUGACGGAGCAACGCCGCGGGAGUGAUGAAGGUCUUCGGAUCGUAAAACUCUUUUAUUAGGGAAGCGGUACCUAAUCAGAAAGCCACGGCUAACUACGUGCCAGCAGCCGCGGUAAUAC
rnacentral:rRNA from 1 species